AGUGAACGCUGGCGGUAGGCCUAACACAUGCAAGUCGAACGGCAGCACAGUAAGAGCUUGCUCUUACGGGUGGCGAGUGGCGGACGGGUGAGGAAUACAUCGGAAUCUACUUUUUCGUGGGGGAUACGUAGGGAAACUUACGCUAAUACCGCAUACGACCUACGGGUGAAAGCAGGGGAUCUUCGGACCUUGCGCGAUUGAAUGAGCCGAUGUCGGAUUAGCUAGUUGGCGGGGUAAAGGCCCACCAAGGCGACGAUCCGUAGCUGGUCUGAGAGGAUGAUCAGCCACACUGGAACUGAGACACGGUCCAGACUCCUACGGGAGGCAGCAGUGGGGAAUAUUGGACAAUGGGCGCAAGCCUGAUCCAGCCAUACCGCGUGGGUGAAGAAGGCCUUCGGGUUGUAAAGCCCUUUUGUUGGGAAAGAAAAGCAGCAGGUUAAUAACCCGCUGUUCUGACGGUACCCAAAGAAUAAGCACCGGCUAACUUCGUG
rnacentral:rRNA from 1 species